CGUGACGUCACCGGAAGCCCGCCUGACCGCCAUAUUUGUUGUCAUGCGAGAGUACCUUUGUUUACCACUCUGCUACCGGCCGUGUUGUUAGUUGUAGUCCAAUUAUUAUAGUUCCAGCGGGUAAGAACAGGGUAAUUGUUGGUUUGGGUGUGUGUGCGCAGGGUGGCUGAGAGGUGCAACAUCCUCUGAGUCGCGAAGGAGACCUGUGUUCCUCUCAGCAAUUGUGACAUGGUAUUGAGUCUCUGUUCGCCCGUCAAUAUUGUUAGCAAAUUUGAUAUCGGUAUAAACUUUGAAGGUACUUAAUGAAUACCGUGUGUAGAAAGUAUGUAAAAUUAUGCAUAAAAUAGCUGAACUGUGAAGAGUAUUGUGGCUGGGCACCAAGGAGUUGUGGUGUUGUGUUGUGGUGGUGGUGGUCACCUGGGCUGCCUGCAGAGUGACCGCUGCUGUGUGAGGAGCCUCACAAGCUGGGCCAAGUGUCACACUCUGGAGCACUUGUGGAUAUAGUGCAGCACAUCAAUUCAGGAGUAUGGAUGCCAGCAGAACUUUAGGCAUGACAUCGGCCAUCAGCUUGGCUAAGCCAAAAGCCUCUGACCUGGAGCACACCAGGGAGCUGUCUGAAUACCUUAAGGAGGCUGGCAUGUUUGAGGAAGAUUCUGAGCUCAAUCACAGGUUUGAGGUGCUGGGAAAGCUGAAUACGUUAGUAAGAACUUGGAUUCGAGAUAUCAGCAUAAAUGUCAAGAACAUGCCACCACAGAUUGCCGACACUGUUGGGGGUAAAAUCUGCACUUUUGGUUCCUACCGUUUGGGAGUGGCUGGCAAAGGUGCUGACAUUGAUGCCUUGUGUGUGGCUCCAAGACAUAUUGAGCGCACAGACUAUUUCUCUAGCUUCUAUGAACUUCUCAAAGAACAGCCAGAAGUCACAGAAAUGAGGUCUGUGGAAGAAGCGUACGUUCCUGUCAUCAAAAUGAAAUAUGAAGGCAUUGAAAUUGAUCUUUUGUUUGCCCGGUUAGCUCUUAAGGAAGUUCCAGACUCUGUUGACCUUAAAGAUGACACAAUUCUCAAGAACUUGGAUGAAAAGUGUGUACGCAGUCUUAAUGGUUGCCGAGUAACUGAUGAAAUUCUUCGGCAAGUUCCCAACAGAGAAAGCUUUCGCUUGGCUCUCAGGGCUGUUAAGCUGUGGGCAAAACGUCAUGGUGUAUACAGCAAUGUUCUGGGUUAUCUUGGAGGUGUAUCAUGGGCCAUGCUGGUGGCUAGAACCUGUCAACUUUACCCAAAUGCUACAGCUUCCACUUUAGUUGAAAAAUUUUUUCUUGUCUUCUCUAAGUGGACUUGGCCAGCACCAGUAUAUCUGAAGCAACCAUAUGAUGCAAAACUCGGGUUUAAGGUUUGGGAUCCGCGGGUAAAUGUUCAAGACAGGUUUCACUUGAUGCCAAUCAUCACACCAGCAUAUCCCCAGCAAAAUUCCACCUUCAAUACUUCACAGUCCACUCGAGCAGUGAUGGUAGAGGAAUUCAAAUCAGGCUUACAAAUUACGGAGGACAUCAUGCUGGGGAAAGCCACAUGGGACAAACUCUUCCAACCUCCAAAUUUCUUCAUGAAAUACAGACAUUACUUGGUGGUGAUUGCUGUAGCUCGCACACCAGAAGACCACCUUGAGUGGUAUGGUCUAGUUGAGUCCAAAAUUAGGCACUUGAUCUUAAGCCUGGAGCACAACACAGCAAUAAAGACAGUUCACAUCAACCCUGCAACUUUUAGCUGUCGGGUGGAAGAAUACUUGGGAAAACCCCAUUCUUCUUGGUUCUUGGGAGUAGAUUUUAACAAAUCAGAAAAUGUGAACAUUGACUUAACCAAUGAUAUAAAUAUUUUUGUCGAAGUAGUGUACAAACAGAGCACCUACAACAAGGCUUACAAGGAUGGAAUGGAAGUAAAUUGCAAAUACGUCAAGCGGAAACAGCUAACAAACUACCUAUCUUUGGAAGACCUAGAAAAAUAUAAACCUAAGGCAGAGAAUCAGCCACGUCACAUAGGACAGAAGAGGAAAUCAGAUCCCAUAGCACCAGACUCCCCAAGCAGAGAGAGUCCAGAGCCUACAAAGAAACCUAAAAUUGACUCUGAUCUACCUCAGGCGAGUUUGAAUGGCGAUGACUCCAACACCUCCAUAGAUGAGGCAUAUUCCAAUUCAUCCUUACCUGGACUAACUCCGGAAAUAAAUGCUACCCAGCAAUCAUUGCCAUUAUCUAGCUGAGGGUAGCAGAAAGUGACAGCAUCUAUGACCUGCCAAGACUCCGCUUCCCCAGCACACUCUCCAAACACAUUAGUUCCUGAGAUGUUGCCUUAUCUACACCAGCAUCCUGCUCUGCCACAUCACCUGUAUUUUCUCCAAAGUGAUUCCAUCUCUCAUUUACCUCCAUCAUACCAUGAUCAGUCAACUUUUCAGCAUGAUCAGCAUGUUAAUUCCCCUGAAUCUCAGUAUCAUAGACAAGAUUUUCAUAAUCAUCAGUUGCAACAUUUUCAUCAAAAUUCAAAGAAUGCUUUAUUGUUUGAAGUUCAGUGUUGUCCAACAUUUUCCACAUCCCAGAGUCACUCCCCAAAUAAUGUGAUGAGCAAUGUCCAAAUGGUCAGAAUGCCUCUAGAUUCUUCUCCAUUAAAUUUAGCACUUCAGGAAAAUAAUAAUUUUCCUACUCCUGUCAUUCAAUUUCAGACAUUCCACCUGCCUCAGUUUCCUCAAAAGAUGUCAAAUCCUCCUCCUCCUGUAGCUUUCUCUAUGCCAUACCCUAGUAGUCAACAAAGUUCACAUGGUAGAUCGAGUUCCACUCCACCAUCCUAUGGAACCACAAGUAUCCCACCUGCUUCAUCAUUUUUGAGCCCCUGCUCUAAUUUUCACAGCCCAACUCCAUCUUCUGUUGCUCCACAUCAAAACAGAAUCCCUUUUCAACAACUUAGACCAUCCCAUCCAUCCAGUUCACAUACCAAUUCCAAUGCAGCUUCUUCACUAUUUAGUCAAAACAUUAACCACCAACCCCGCCACCACCAACACCACCACAGUGCAAGCCAACCUCAAAGACAAAGCCAACAAAGCUUCAGCACCACCCGCUUAUCAUUUUCAAGGCGAGUGGUGAAGCCAUCUCAACUGGAUUUGGCAAGGCAGCGGCUAUCAAGUGUUGAACUUCCUGAUGUCCUCACUCCUGAGCCACCUCAGCUGGCCCCUUCAUCUGGCAGUUUUGCAAUACACUUCAAGUAGAAACUCUGGAAAGGAAGAACUGUUCAGCUGAGGGAUUCUUGGAAUGCAGCUACUGCAGUAGUAAAGUCAUUACUGAGGCUGUCAUAAGAUCUUAGCAGAUGUAUGAGGUCCAGUUGAACCCUUUAUAAUUUAUGAGCUUGCCAGACUUGCUAUACAGUGGCAAAAUAAUUGUAGUAGUAUUUACUUUAUCAUGACUCAAAGAAAAUUUUUCUCUCUCCCAGUUGUAUUAUUGUGGAUAAUUGACCACAGAUUAUUUCUUUAUCAGAAUCAGGCCAACAUUAUUUGUUUUGAAAAAUACUUGGGAGCAUGUAAUUUUUCAGUUUUUCAAAUUUUCUCAGUAAGUAAAAUCCCAUGCAAACAACUACAAGGAAUAAACUUUUAUAUUUCACAUGAUUUCAGAUGUAUUGCCUAUAGUGUUCCAGGAGUCUUAACGUAAAUUCAGAAGUUGAACUCUAUGAAAAUAAUAGAUAUUCUGAUAAAGAAAUCUUAAGAAAAAAAGCUGUGUGGUUUGAAUAUUCUCUCUUGGGGGCAACAUCCAGCUUGAGAUCAUAAGAAAAAAAAAAAAAAAAUAGAAAAGACACUAGAAAAAGAAUAAAUGACUGGUCAACACUACCAUCUGAAAGUAGCAGAGAUGGCACCAAACAAGGGAACAUUAAGAAUGCAGCAUUAAGUCACAGUAAAACAACUUACCAGUUACAUGCAACAUUUUAUCAGUGAAGAUUUAACUUUAGGUUGCUAUUCACAAAAUAAACAGAGGACACUGGUGGAUGGAAGGAGUUAUCCAGAUGACUGGUGGAAGUGGCACCUCUAGUGACCACUAGGAUACUUCAUUAAAGAGGAAUCACUAGAAGUAGCACUUCUGGUAGCCAAUGGGAGGUGAUAUCAGAAAAUAAAUAGAGGCUCAAGAAGAUCCAGGACCAUCCAGGUUAUUGGAAGAGAAGCAAGGUCAACAUAAACGAUAAUUUCUUAUGAGAUAUCCACAUAUAGGAGAAUGGUUAGACAUGGGUUGUAGCAUUUAUGAUGUGCUUCUUUUUUGUGUGUGAAGGUUAAUUUUUAUGCUUCAUUUUUAUUGGAGUACAAUCUUACACUAAAUUGCAUUAUGUAAUUAAUGCAUAAUACAAAUUAUCUCAUGUAGAAUAAUAUUUUCUCUUUGCAGAUUUUGUGGAAUAAAAUUUCUCUUAGUCUGGUUUAUAUUGUACAGUGGCUGCAACCAGGGUUAGGGUGAUUUUGGUAUAUUUAUUCAUUCCAUUACUUUUAAUGGACCCAUAUCAUUUGCCAAGGGAUGAGAUGUGAAGAGUACAAGUACUUAGCUCAUAUCCCCACAUCAGGAACCAUGAAGCAAGGAUUAUAUCACUUUAAUUUAUUUUUCUUCUUGGGUAAUAUAUCUGAAAAUGUUUUGAAAACAUGUUUCUUUCAUAUAUUAAAACAAUGCUUUAAUUUGACAGACCAGUUGGGUGGUUGUAAUAUUUAUUGGAUUUUAUUAGUCAUAUAUGAAAGGUUAAAAGAAAGUCUUAAUUACAUUUUUACAGGUCUUCAUACUUUCAUAAUGUACAUUUUCAUUUUAAGUUCAACAUCAUUCUAGAUCAGGAAUGGCUGGCAAUAUACACUGGUGGAAGAAUACAUGUUGUAAAGUUUCUUAUAUUAAUCUUUUAUUUUUACAUCAAAAUUAUGCAUGUGCAAAAUCUUUUUUUUCUUUUAUAGUUACUUAGGUUUAUUUUGGUUAUUACUUUAGGAAGGGUAAUGUCAGAUUGCAUUGGAUUUUAAUCUGAUAAGGUUUUGUUAGAUUGAAGAUUUCAAGACAGUAGUGGAACCCUUAUGGAAGACACUCGUCUUCAGUCCUGUUUCCCAGUUCUUGUAAAGGUGCUCUUUGUAUGAGUAAUUGAAGGAAUGAUUGGAGAUGUGAGCUUCGAUUUUAGUGAUGUACAUUAUUUGCCAUUGUUUGAUUUCACAAUCAUAUGGUAACAAUUUAAAUUGCACAGGUUGGAGGACAUUGGUAUUUAAAGAAUGGCAAGGUACUCACUAAAGUGUGUGUGUGUGUGUGUGUGUGUGUGUGUGUGUGUGUGUGUGUGUGUGUGUGUGUGUGUGUGUGUGUACACAUGCAUACUUGCUUCAAAGCAUGAUUGUAUUCUUUAAGAACUAAAAGUAACAUUUGGUGUGUAUGUAUAAUUGUCACAGAAUCAACAAGUAUUAACAUUCUCAUACAUAACUGUAUCAAAUAUGUCUGAAGUCAUGUAUAAUAGGUAGAGCAACUUUCACAUUUUACAUAUAAUGAAUGUCAACAGGGAAGGUUUAUGUUUGAAUAUAAGAAAAAAUAUUUACACAUUGUUCUAUGGAGCAACUAUCCCAAAUCAAGCAAAUCUCAAUUUCUUUCAUUAUUAGUUUGCAGUAAAAUAUACUACAUAUCAAAAUAAUUACAUUACUUAAAUAAUUUUGGCUUUAUCAAUUGACAAAGCAGUUUUAGUGAUUAACACACAGUUGUAGCUUUUUAUUGUAUUUGGGCUAUAAAUUAGUGUAUAAUGUAAUAAUGUGUUACUAAUAUUGAUAUAGAUAAAGAAGAAGGGAAGAUUGAUUAAUUAUAUCAAAAUCUCAUUUAGUAAAAGAAUAACUGAGGAAUCAACAAAAGUCUUUUCUCAUCUGCAAGUUAUCUCUAGAUUGUGCAACCCAGUGUGUUUGAUUUUGUAUUUCAUAUUUGCUUAAUUAUAUUAGUUUUUAAUGAUUGAGAAACAGAAUUACUUGUUGAUGAAAAGCAGUUCUACCACCAGUGUUCUUUUUUGAAUAUCGAAAGAGUGAAGGUGUUUUCUAUAAUGUCUAUGCUUACAAUAUUUACACAAGGAAGCAAACUAUAUUUUUUAUCCAGGAUUUGAUCAUGUAAAGUCACCAGGUUUAUCUCUUACCUCUCAAGUAAAUAAUGCUAACAUUUGCUGUAUUGCAUGUAGUGUAGCAUGCAACUUACAUGUUCCAGGAGAAAGUUUUUUGUAGGAGAAAAUUGUUCUUUAUUUGAAUUAUUUAUUUAUUUAUUAUUUAUUUAUUUAUUUAUUUAUUUAUUUAUUUAUUUAUUUAUUUAUUAUUAUUAUUUUUUUUUUGUAGAGGUCAAAUUCAAAGUGAUUUAUAUAAAUCAACACCGACAUUGAGUACAGUAGACUACAUGUAGCAGUAUUCACAAAGGCCUAAUAUGUAUACACAAGUCUGCAUUUCACUUCAUAUCAACAUCUUUUUAUCUUAAAGACAGAAAAAUAUAGUUUUCUUUUGAUAUAUAGCAUACAUAGUAAAAAAAAAAUAAAUAGAAGGAUGUGUACAUAUGAACACACACACACACACACACACACACACACACACACACACACACACACACACACACACACACACACACACACACACACACACACACACACUGCAUUAAAAAUAAUAAAGUAAAAAUUAAUUAAUAAAAUGGAAGUAUAAAACUAGUGAAAAUAAAUUGUUAUUUAAAAGAAACUUGACAACAAUCAAGAAAACAGCAGUAAGGGACCCAAUUUUUCAGUUUUAAGUUGAAAUAAUUAGAAUAGGAGGCAUGGAUAAAAUAAAAAUUCUCUGAUAAAGUAUGAUAGAGGAACAAGCAGUCAUGAGUACAAAUUAUGAGACUUCAAUGCAUGAUUAUUUUUAUGAAAUUUAGUAUACCAAACAAAUUUAGAAAGUUGAAGAGAAUGGAAGCUGAGCCAGUGUAAGGAAGGAAUGUACAUGUACUUUUAAGACCAAAUUGGAUAAAAGUGUAUUUAAAGAUAGGAUAAAAGUUUGACUCAAAUGUUUCACACACACACACACACACACACACACACACACACACACACACACACACACACACACACACACACACACACACACACACACACACACACACACACACACUUGCAUGCAUGCUUGUUUGCAUCUUAAUUUUUGACUGUUUUGCUGUUUUCUGAUACAAAAGUUUCAUUAUGUGUCUGAUUUUCUCAAUUCCGCCUUGUUGCCAGAUAACAUGAAUUUUCAAAUUCUUGUUAUUCUUGUUAAUUGUUUCCUUUCCUUAAUCAUUAACAUUAUCAAGCAUCUGUGUCUGGACCUCAUGGUUUUUUGCGAGGAAAUAAUGUAAAGGUGCAAGUUUACUUUGAAUAGAAUGUACAGUUUGUUUUGAACAAUUAAGACCAAAUUGGAUAAAAGUGUAUUUAAAGAUAGGAUAAAAAGUUUGACUCAAAUGUUUUACACACACACACACACACACACACACACACACACACACACACACACACACACACACACACACACACACACACACACACACACACUUGCAUGCAUGCUUGUUUGCAUCUUAAUUUUUGACUGUUUUGCUAUUUUCUGAUACAAAAGUUUCAUUAUGUGUCUGAUUUUCUCAGUUCUGCCUUGUUGCCAGAUAACAUGAAUUUUCAAAUUCUUGAUGAUAUUUGACUUGACUGUCAAUCUUUUGGUGUAUUAUAUAUUUAUAUGGUUUUACUGAUCUUCACACACAUUUGAUGCUGCCAUGAUGACAUAAAAUCACUGGUAUCAUAAAUAAUUUACUGUACUAAUGUUACUUUGUUUAUACUCUGAAAAAUAUCACAACAAAUUUGUAGACUUGAGACUUUUCUCAUGUAGUUCAAGUUUGAAAUAAUUGUUUCCUUUCCUUAAUCAUUAACAUUAUCGAGCAUCUGUGUCUGGACCUCAUGGGUUUUUGCGAGGAAAUAAUGUAAAGGUGCAAGUUUACUUUGAAUAGAAUGUACAGUUUGUUUUGAACAAUUAAACUAUCAUUGACAUGCAUGAGUAAUAAAUAUGUAUAGAGUUGUGUAAAAGAAUACCCCAUGAAAUGAGAUGACUGUGGCUGCACUUAAUGUGUUUGUAUGUCUGUAUAAUGCCUGUGUGUAUUUAGUUUCUACUGUGCAAUUGAUAUAAUGGGUAUGAUGAGUCCUCAGAGUUUCAGGUAGGUGUGCUAGUUACUGAUGAUUAAAUCACCAGCUACAGAACCUCACUGGGUGUAUUUUUAUGUAUAUAUAUAUUAAUAUGCUGAAUUUAAAGUAAUGCCACAGGGACCCAUAACUUUCUCUAUGAGUACUGUAGGAUGUACUGUUUUAUACAUAAAGUAAUCAAUGCCAGCAAUGAUAUACAAGUUUAUUUUUGAGAAAUUAUGAAUGACAAAAAGAAAAUAAUUUGUAAAAUAAAAAUGAUAAAAGAAGGAAAACACUGAA